ensembl:rRNA 5S_rRNA 5S ribosomal RNA
CUCUACGGCCAUACCACCCUGAACGCGCCCGAUCUUGUCUGAUCUCGGAAGCUAAGCAGGGUCAGGCCUGGUUAGUACUUGGAUGGAGAAAUUAUAUUCACCUGAGGUGCAUGGUCCCUUAAAUA